CUCAACUGUCAAAACCCAACGGCCAAUGACUGACACUACAGCAAUGGAGCCAUCGCCACCACCCAAAUCCAAGAGCACCACCAAACAGCCACCGCCACCGCCACCGCCGCGGCCGCCACUCCACCGCCGCUUAGUAACUCUCGACACGACGCUCUCCCAACGUCUCCAUGUCCUCGCCAAACCUUUCCUUCCCCACUUCAUCCUCCUCCUCCUCGAAAUCUCCGCCGACUUCCGCUUCUUCUUUCCCCUCUCCCUCUCCCUCCUCCUCGCCCCAACCCUAACCCUAAUCCCAUCCCCAAUCCAAAUCCCAGGCCGAGGCGCAAGCCUAAGCCCAAUUCAAAUCCUCCGCCCUCUCCUCUCCCCGCUCAUCCUCGGCCUCCUCCUCGACCUCGCCCUCAUCGGCCUAAUCAAGCUCCUCUUCCGCCGCGCCCGCCCUCUCUACAACAAGAACAUGAACGUCGCCGUUUCGGUCGACCACUUCUCCUUCCCCAGCGGACACGCCUCCAGGGUCUGCUUCGUCGCCGCCCUUCUCCACCUCUCCGCCGCAGCUCUCGCCGAUGCCCUCGCGCUCCUCCGGCCAACGUCUCCGUUCAUUGACCGCUGGUUCGGCUCGGACCCCGUCAGCGCCAUUAGUGUUUUGGUCUUGGUUGCUUGGACCUGGGCCUACGCCACCUCCUUCUCUAGGAUUGUGCUGGGCAGGCAUUUCGUCACCGACGUUUGCGCUGGGGCGUGUUUGGGCAUGUUUGAGGGUCUCGUUGCGUUUCGCUUCCUCAGGUUUUAAGGACUUUCCCUGACUGGAGCAGCCUGAAUAUUGACAAUCUCCUGUGGAAAUCUGCUGCUGUCAGAAAUCUGUUUUAUUUGACCGCAGUUCUGGCUCGAAGGCAAUGUGGUGAAAAUAAUUUCUCAAGGUUUGGGAUACUCCUUUUCCUUUGUGAUGACCCCCGUUGGAUAUGGAACUGGUUUAGCUGUCGACGAUUAUUUUAUUUUCCGUGCUGCACGGCUGGAUUGAUCGUCCAUUAACGUCAUUUUGAUUGUGGAAAGUAGAUGAAAGUAAAGAUAUUCUUGCACCAUGUAGAGGAGAUUUCCUCCGCAACUCUAUGCAAGGGGUAGUAGCAGUAGCAUCCAGAUGUACUGAGAAUUAUAUUGAGUUCAGCUGAUGAAAUAUAUGCUGGCAAAUUCUGUGCUUCUUCUGUGGUAUUUUCCAUGCUUCACUGGAUCUAUUGAGCACUGUAUUUCUCCAAAUGUAUUAAGCUCUGUAUUUCUGUGAUUCAACUGCAUUGGAAUUUAGCUUGUCUCAGAAUCAAAAAACUCUGUUUAGAGGAAAAUAACAGUUAGUUUGCUCAAUCGUCUACAAAUGGUCCAAUGCAGGAACAGUUUCUUCUUGAUGCCUUGUGAGAUUGAAAGCAUGUGCCUGGAUUGGCUACAAAUGGAUAGAAGAUGUGGAACAAGUUGAAAGAUAUGUUUUACUUUUACCUUCUACCUAGUCAACAUUAUUAGGCUUUCAAACUUUCUCCCAUCACUUGUAUGAUUGAUACAAAAAUCAAGUGGGUUAUCUAUUUAAUCACCACGCCCACAAGAAACUAAAACCCUCAAGGUAAAAAAGGUCAUUGUCAAUUUCCAUGGUAAGAAGAUAAUUUGUUUGGAGCCAACUUGUAUUUUGUGACAUUGUAGAUUAAAUUUUUUAUGAUUUCAGAAAUUCUAUUGAUAACCA